GAGUUUGAUCGUGGCUCAGAUUGAACGCUGGCGGCAGGCCUAACACAUGCAAGUCGAGCGGAUGAGAGGAGCUUGCUCCUUGAUUCAGCGGCGGACGGGUGAGUAAUGCCUAGGAAUCUGCCUGAUAGUGGGGGACAACGUUUCGAAAGGAACGCUAAUACCGCAUACGUCCUACGGGAGAAAGCAGGGGACCUUCGGGCCUUGCGCUAUCAGAUGAGCCUAGGUCGGAUUAGCUAGUAGGUGAGGUAAUGGCUCACCUAGGCGACGAUCCGUAACUGGUCUGAGAGGAUGAUCAGUCACACUGGAACUGAGACACGGUCCAGACUCCUACGGGAGGCAGCAGUGGGGAAUAUUGGACAAUGGGCGAAAGCCUGAUCCAGCCAUGCCGCGUGUGUGAAGAAGGUCUUCGGAUUGUAAAGCACUUUAAGUUGGGAGGAAGGGCUGCAAGUUAAUACCUUGUAGUUUUGACG
rnacentral:rRNA from 1 species